rnacentral:rRNA from 1 species
UACAGAGGUCCCAAGCGUUGUUCGGAUUCAUUGGGCGUAAAGGGUGUGUAGGUGGCGCCGUAAGUCGGGUGUGAAAUCUCGGGGCUUAACUCCGAAACUGCAUUCGAUACUGCGGUGCUUGAGGACUGGAGAGGAGACUGGAAUUUACGGUGUAGCAGUGAAAUGCGUAGAGAUCGUAAGGAAGACCAGUGGCGAAGGCGGGUCUCUGGACAGUUCCUGACGCUGAGGCACGAAGGUCAGGGAAGCAAACGGG